UACCAGCACCCCGAGUGGUCGGGACGAUUAUUGGGCCUAAAGCAUCCGUAGCCGGCCUUACAAGUCCUCCGUUAAAUCCAGCUGCUUAACAGAUGGGCUGCGGAGGAUACUAUAAGACUAGGAAGCAGGAGAGGCAAGCGGUACUCAGUGGGUAGGGGUAAAAUCCGUUGAUCCAUUGAAGACCACCAGUGGCGAAGGCGGCUUGCCAGAAUGCGCUCGACGGUGAGGGAUGAAAGCUGGGGGAGCAAACCGG
rnacentral:rRNA from 1 species